rnacentral:rRNA from 1 species
GAUCCUGGCUCAGGAUGAACGCUAGCUACAGGCUUAACACAUGCAAGUCGAGGGGCAGCAUGAACUUAGCUUGCUAAGUUGAUGGCGACCGGCGCACGGGUGAGUAACACGUAUCCAACCUGCCGAUGACUCGGGGAUAGCCUUUCGAAAGAAAGAUUAAUACCGAUGGCAUAGUUCUUCCGCAUGGUAGAACUUAUUAAAGAAUUUCGGUCAUUCGGAUGGGGAUGGCGUUCCAUUAGGUUG